GACUUGAGGGCCUUCGUCUCCUGUAUGGCCUAGAGACCAGUCUCUCGACCUCUCUCCAAACGCCUCAGGAGGCUUGACUCCCUUUAGUCCACCCAGUGAGCUCCAAGAGAUACCCGUCGCGACUCGAGAGCAGAGCGGGGUUCUUUGCUUCCACUCGAGAUGGAUGCCUGUCUCCCCGGGUGCGUCUGGAAUGCAACCCCGAGAUCCCUUUCGCCCCUGGAGAGGAACAUUGGCUUCUGGACACAAGCCUAGAUGAGGUCUAUUGGCCCUGCAGUCACUCGAGAGCAAUCCCCAGCUUUCCUUCGCAACUCGAAUGGAAGAUUGGACUUCCCUGGGCCUACACAAGAGGCAUCCUGAAUUCCCCGUCGUAACUCGAGAAUCCCGCUGCAACUCGAGAAAAUCCACGUGGUUCCCCCGUCAUCGCAAGAUGAAGCCCUUUCCCGCUACAGUGUCUCAGGAGAAGUCCCACGUUAGGUAUUGGAGGUCGAAACGGUACUUGGCACCCUUGAUGCGACCCACAAAGUGCCCCGACAUCCCGGUCUCCCUCAAGAGGAACACCGAGGUUUUCCCGCACCACUUCCUCUGAGCCCCUUCUACCCUCCUGAUCUGGACAGGAGGGUCGACUCCCCUGCUUUGUCUGGAAGGGGUUCCCGACCUUCCGGUCGCACCUCAGGAUGAGGCCGGUC
ensembl:lncRNA